rnacentral:rRNA from 1 species
GAUGAACGCUGGCGGCGUGCCUAAUACAUGCAAGUCGAGCGAACAGACGAGGAGCUUGCUCCUCUGACGUUAGCGGCGGACGGGUGAGUAACACGUGGAUAACCUACCUAUAAGACUGGGAUAACUUCGGGAAACCGGAGCUAAUACCGGAUAACAUGUUGAACCGCAUGGUUCAACAGUGAAAGACGGUCUUGCUGUCACUUAUAGAUGGAUCCGCGCCGCAUUAGCUAGUUGGUAAGGUAACGGCUUACCAAGGCAACGAUGCGUAGCCGACCUGAGAGGGUGAUCGGCCACACUGGAACUGAGACACGGUCCAGACUCCUACGGGAGGCAGCAGUAGGGAAUCUUCCGCAAUGGGCGAAAGCCUGACGGAGCAACGCCGCGUGAGUGAAGAAGGUCUUCGGAUCGUAAAACUCUGUUAUUAGGGAAGAACAAAUGUGUAAGUAACUAUGCACGUCUUGACGGUACCUAAUAAGAAAGCCACGGCUAACUACGUG